rnacentral:rRNA from 1 species
UUCCGGUUGAUCCUGCCGGACCCCACUGCUAUCGAGAUGGGACUAAGGUAUGCUAGUCGAACGACCAGAACUAUGUCUGGAAGUGGCACACUGCUCAGUAACACGUAGCUAACCUACCCUUAGGACGUGGAUACCCCCGAGAAAUUGGGGUUAGUCCGCGAUAGGUGUAAUGUCCUGGAAUGGUAUUACGCCUAAAGGUGUAUCAUACAUGUUUGAUAUACGCCUAAGGAUGGGGCUGCGGCCGAUCAGGCUGUUGGUGAGGUAAUGGCUCACCAAACCUUUGACCGGUACGGGCCAUGAGAGUGGUAGCCCGGAGAUGGACACUGAGACAAGGGUCCAGGCCCUAAGGGGCGCAGCAACCGCGAAACCUCCACAAUGCACUCACGUGCGAUGGGGCUAUCUCGAGUGCCACCUGAUGAAGGUGGCUUUUCCUAGGUCUUCAAAGCCUUGGGAAUAAGAGGGGGGCAAGACUGGUGUCAGCCGCCGCGGUAACACCAGCCCCUCGAGUGGUGGGGAUGAUUAUUUGGCCUAAAGCGUCCGUAGCCGGCCGAGCAAGUCUUCCGUUAAAUCCAGCGUCUCAAGCGUUGGACUGCGGGAGAUACUACACGGCUAGAGAGUGGGAGAGGUCAGCGGUAUUCUGGGGGUAGGGGCGAAAUCCUUUGAUCCCCGGAGGACCACCAGUGGCGAAGGCUGCUGACUAGAACACGUCUGACGGUCAGGGACGAAAGCUGGGGUAGCGAACCGGAUUAGAUACCCGGGUAGUCCCAGCCGUAAACGAUGCAUGCUAGGUGUUGGGUUGGCCACGAGCCACCCCAGUGCCGCAGGGAAGCCGUUAAGCAUGCCGCCUGGGAAGUACGAUCGCAAGAUUGAAACUUAAAGGAAUUGGCGGGGGAGCACCACCAGGCGUGAAGCCUGCGGUUUAAUUGGAUUCAACGCCGGA